rnacentral:rRNA from 1 species
CUACGGGGGGCAGCAGUGGGGAAUAUUGGACAAUGGGCGAAAGCCUGAUCCAGCCAUGCCGCGUGUGUGAAGAAGGCCUUCGGGUUGUAAAGCACUUUCAGUGGGGAAGAAAGCCUUGGGGCUAAUACCCUCGAGGAAGGACAUCACCCACAGAAGAAGCACCGGCUAACUCCGUGCCAGCAGCCGCGGUAAUACGGAGGGUGCGAGCGUUAAUCGGAAUUACUGGGCGUAAAGCGCGCGUAGGCGGUCUGAUAAGCCGGUUGUGAAAGCCCCGGGCUCAACCUGGGAACGGCAUCCGGAACUGUCAGGCUAGAGUGCAGGAGAGGAAGGUAGAAUUCCCGGUGUAGCGGUGAAAUGCGUAGAGAUCGGGAGGAAUACCAGUGGCGAAGGCGGCCUUCUGGACUGACACUGACGCUGAGGUGCGAAAGCGUGGGUAGCAAACAGGAUUAGAUACCCGAGUAGU